AUGGCACCGCAGCCGCCUCUCUUCCCUCCCGCUGCCUUCGACCGCGGCGGCGGCGGCCUCCCUUCAUGGGACCCUAGCCGCACCUCCAACCCUUCCUUCGACCAGGGCUUCCUGAAGGCGGCCUUCGACGGCGAGCUCCACCUCGUCAAGAAGGCGGCGAGGGUGGUGGGAAGGGGGGCGGAAGGCAGUCGCCUCGCUGAGAAGAUGGGCGCGGUCAGGGACGGCUACGGCAUGGGCUUGUUGCACACCGCGGCCCUAGGCGGGAGCCUGCCCGUGUGCCGCUACCUGGUCGAGGACAUCCGGCUGGAUGUCGAUGACGUAGGCCCGAUGGGCGAAACGCCUUUGACUGUUGCGAUUGGCUGUCAGAAUGUGGAUUUGGUGCGCUACUUUCUUGAUCAAGGUGCUGCUACAAUGAAGCUCAACGACAGUGGGAGUACUCCCCUCCACCUUGCUGCUGCAGCAGGAAGCUGUGAAAUAGUUGAGCUCUUACUCUGCAGUGGAGCUUAUGUUGAUGCACUACAUCUUGGUGGGACGGCACUGCAUUCUGCUGCCCGUGAUGGGCGGGAUGAUAUUGUGAAAGUUUUGCUAGACCACCAUGCAGACCAUAAGAUAACUUUGGGUGGUACUGGUUAUACAGCUCUUGCUAUUGCUAGUGUUGUGCACUCACUGAAAUGUGUGAAGCUCCUGCUUGAGGCUGGUGCUGAUGUGGAUGGUAAUUGUAAAGAGACACCAUUAAUCAUUGCUGCCAUUAGUGGCUCAACUGAAAUCCUGAAGUGCUUAGUUCUGGCUGGUGCGGAUGCUAAUGUUCCUGACAGUUUAGGACGAGCUCCUAUUGAAAUUGCUGCCCGCUCUGGUAGGCGUGAAGAUGUUGAGAUUCUAUUUCCGGUCACUUCUCGUAUUCCAAAUGUAUGUGACUGGAGUGUAGAUGGGAUCAUUAGGCAUGUAAAAUCAGUGCGUCCAGCGAAGGUAUAA
rnacentral:rRNA from 1 species